UUUAUUGCCUUCAAUAUCAAAACCCUAUUUUUCUUACACGUGGUCUCUUUCUGAUACCUGUUGCGGAACUUGUGAUUCCACCGUCUGGUUCAUUCAGUAAACGCUCAAGGGACUGUAUUUUAUAAUUGUAUUGAUUGUAAUAUGUGAAAGUAUACUAUUUACAACGUGAGUUUUAGACUGUUAAACAUUCCGAUUGUCUCGCUACGAUCUGACAGCAACAAUGACAUUCAAUCACUCCCUAGCUAUUUGAUUACCCUACCAAAUUACAAUGUGUCACUGUGACGUAUCAAUUUACACAUACAAAGACUUAUUUACGAUUUAACAUGAAUUACGUCAAGCACAAUACUGAUAUAUUACAUUAAGUAUAUUUAAAGUUGAAUGAAUUGGCGGCGCUGCGCUGGGAACCUACGAC